rnacentral:rRNA from 1 species
AUGAACGCUAGCUACAGGCUUAACACAUGCAAGUCGAGGGGCAGCAUGGUCUUAGCUUGCUAAGGCCGAUGGCGACCGGCGCACGGGUGAGUAACACGUAUCCAACCUGCCGUCUACUCUUGGACAGCCUUCUGAAAGGAAGAUUAAUACAAGAUGGCAUCAUGAGUCCGCAUGUUCACAUGAUUAAAGGUAUUCCGGUAGACGAUGGGGAUGCGUUCCAUUAGAUAGUAGGCGGGGUAACGGCCCACCUAGUCUUCGAUGGAUAGGGGUUCUGAGAGGAAGGUCCCCCACAUUGGAACUGAGACACGGUCCAAACUCCUACGGGAGGCAGCAGUGAGGAAUAUUGGUCAAUGGGCGAGAGCCUGAACCAGCCAAGUAGCGUGAAGGAUGACUGCCCUAUGGGUUGUAAACUUCUUUUAUAAAGGAAUAAAGUCGGGUAUGGAUACCCGUUUGCAUGUACUUUAUGAAUAAGGAUCGGCUAACUCCGUGCCAGCAGCCGCGGUAAUACGGAGGAUCCGAGCGUUAUCCGGAUUUAUUGGGUUUAAAGGGAGCGUAGAUGGAUGUUUAAGUCAGUUGUGAAAGUUUGCGGCUCAACCGUAAAAUUGCAGUUGAUACUGGAUAUCUUGAGUGCAGUUGAGUCAGGCGGAAUUCGUGGUGUAGCGGUGAAAUGCUUAGAUAUCACGAAGAACUCCGAUUGCGAAGGCAGCCUGCUAAGCUGCAACUGACAUUGAGGCUCGAAAGUGUGGGUAUCAAACAGGAUUAGAUACCCUGGUAGUCCACACGGUAAACGAUGAAUACUCGCUGUUUGCGAUAUACUGCAAGCGGCCAAGCGAAAGCGUUAAGUAUUCCACCUGGGGAGUACGCCGGCAACGGUGAAACUCAAAGGAAUUGACGGGGGCCCGCACAAGCGGAGGAACAUGUGGUUUAAUUCGAUGAUACGCGAGGAACCUUACCCGGGCUUAAAUUGCAGAUGAAUUACGGUGAAAGCCGUAAGCCGCAAGGCAUCUGUGAAGGUGCUGCAUGGUUGUCGUCAGCUCGUGCCGUGAGGUGUCGGCUUAAGUGCCAUAACGAGCGCAACCCUUGUUGUCAGUUACUAACAGGUUCCGCUGAGGACUCUGACAAGACUGCCAUCGUAAGAUGUGAGGAAGGUGGGGAUGACGUCAAAUCAGCACGGCCCUUACGUCCGGGGCUACACACGUGUUACAAUGGGGGGUACAGAGGGCCGCUACCACGCGAGUGGAUGCCAAUCCCCAAAACCUCUCUCAGUUCGGACUGGAGUCUGCAACCCGACUCCACGAAGCUGGAUUCGCUAGUAAUCGCGCAUCAGCCACGGCGCGGUGAAUACGUUCCCGGGCCUUGUACACACCGCCCGUCAAGCCAUGGGAGCCGGGGGUACCUGAAGUGCGUAACCGCGAGGAGCGCCCUAGGGUAAAACUGGUGACUGGGGCU